CCUACGGGAGACUGCAGUGGGGAAUAUUGCACAAUGGGCGCAAGCCUGAUGCAGCGACGCCGCGUGCGGGAUGGAGGCCUUCAGGUUGUCAACCCCUUUUUUUCAAGGGACAGGCACGGUCUUUGGCCGUGUUUAGUGUAUUGUUCGAAUAAGCCCCUGCUCACUACGUGCCAGCAGCCGCGGUAUUACGUUGGGUGCACGCGUUAGCCGGAUUUAUUGGGGGUAAAGGGCUCGUAGGCGGGUCUUCGCGUCCGGUGUGGAAGUCCAUCGCUUAACGGUGGAUCCGCGGGGGGUACGGGCGGGCUUGAGUUCGGUAGGGGAGAGCGGAAUGCGCGGUGUAGCGGUGGAAUGCGUAGAUAUCGGGAAGAACACCAAUGGCGAAGGCAGGUCGCCGGGUCGUUACUGACGCUGAGGAGCGAAAGCGUGGGGAGCGAACAGGAUUAGAUACCCUUGUAGUC
rnacentral:rRNA from 1 species